AAAAGAAAAAGUAAGAGUCUAUGUAGACUUAUUGGACAGCAUUUGGAUAACACAUUUUUGCAUUUAUUUAACCCCUUAAGGACCAAACUUCUGGAAUAAAAGGGAAUCAUGACAUGUCACAUAUGUCAUGUGUCCUUGAUUCUCUUUUAUUCCAGAAGUUUGGUCCUUAAGGGGUUAAGGGGUUAAAUCCAACAAUAGAAUAUUGAAAAUACAAUUAGAAAAACACACUGCUCUUGUCUAUUAAAUGUAGCAGCUCUGUUCUACCUGCAGGACGUGUUCAGGAUAGAAUGUAACACAAACUAUGGGGGUUUAAUAGGCCGGUAUUGAUAACAUUCCUGUUGAUAAUUUCAUUCUUUCAAACUCCAAAUAUUCGUGAAUCAUACAUUGUCAAAAAGUUAUUGUCAAAGUGUAAUAUAGUUAAUACAAGUUUUUAUCUUUAGUUCCACUUGCUGGUUUGGACAAUAUUUGUAUAUAUCAAAAUGUAUAAGUGAAAAAUUCCCACGAUAAAUGAGGCAAUGAGGCACAGCCACCAUUAAUUUGUUCUUGCAAUGUUUAAGAGGAUGUACAUUUAUGGUAAUGUCUAUUUUAGAAUUACAUUUAACUACAUAAUAAACAAUUUUUUGGUUUCUGAGAAGUCUGCUAGGCAAUUCUUGGGUUAUAUUAAGUGCUUACAAAGCACCCAAGGUCUGCUGCAAACAUUAGAUUUCAUACCUGCAAAGUACACAGACAUGGACAUUAUUAAUGGAACACUAUAGU